GGUUAAGCGACUAAGCGUACACGGUGGAUGCCCUGGCAGUCAGAGGCGAUGAAGGGCGUGCUAAUCUGCGAUAAGCGCCGGUAAGGUGAUAUGAACCGUUAUAACCGGCGAUACCCGAAUGGGGAAACCCAGUGUGAUUCGUCACACUAUCAUUAACUGAAUCCAUAGGUUAAUGAGGCGAACCGGGGGAACUGAAACAUCUAAGUACCCCGAGGAAAAGAAAUCAACCGAGAUUCCCCCAGUAGCGGCGAGCGAACGGGGAGGAGCCCAGAGCCUGAAUCAGCAUGUGUGUUAGUGGAAGCGUCUGGAAAGGCGCGCGAUACAGGGUGACAGCCCCGUACACAAAAGCGCAUGUGCUGUGAGCUCGAUGAGUAGGGCGGGACACGUGGUAUCCUGUCUGAAUAUGGGGGGACCAUCCUCCAAGGCUAAAUACUCCUGACUGACCGAUAGUGAACCAGUACCGUGAGGGAAAGGCGAAAAGAACCCCGGCGAGGGGAGUGAAAAAGAACCUGAAACCGUGUACGUACAAGCAGUGGGAGCACAGGUUUACCUGUGUGACUGCGUACCUUUUGUAUAAUGGGUCAGCGACUUAUAUUCUGUAGCAAGGUUAACCGAAUAGGGGAGCCGCAGGGAAACCGAGUCUUAAUUGGGCGUUAAGUUGCAGGGUAUAGACCCGAAACCCGGUGAUCUAGCCAUGGGCAGGUUGAAGGUUGGGUAACACUAACUGGAGGACCGAACCGACUAAUGUUGAAAAAUUAGCGGAUGACCUGUGGCUGGGGGUGAAAGGCCAAUCAAACCGGGAGAUAGCUGGUUCUCCCCGAAAGCUAUUUAGGUAGCGCCUCGUGAAUUCAUCUCCGGGGGUAGAGCACUGUUUCGGCUAGGGGGCCAUCCCGGCUUACCAACCCGAUGCAAACUGCGAAUACCGGAGAAUGUUAUCACGGGAGACACACGGCGGGUGCUAACGUCCGUCGUGAAGAGGGAAACAACCCAGACCGCCAGCUAAGGUCCCAAAGUCAUGGUUAAGUGGGAAACGAUGUGGGAAGGCCCAGACAGCCAGGAUGUUGGCUUAGAAGCAGCCAUCAUUUAAAGAAAGCGUAAUAGCUCACUGGUCGAGUCGGCCUGCGCGGAAGAUGUAACGGGGCUAAACCAUGCACCGAAGCUGCGGCAGCGACGCUGAUGCGUUGUUGGGUAGGGGAGCGUUCUGUAAGCCUGUGAAGGUGUGUCGUGAGGCAUGCUGGAGGUAUCAGAAGUGCGAAUGCUGACAUAAGUAACGAUAAAGCGGGUGAAAAGCCCGCUCGCCGGAAGACCAAGGGUUCCUGUCCAACGUUAAUCGGGGCAGGGUGAGUCGACCCCUAAGGCGAGGCCGAAAGGCGUAGUCGAUGGGAAACGGGUUAAUAUUCCCGUACUUGGUGUUACUGCGAAGGGGGGACGGAGAAGGCUAUGUUGGCCGGGCGACGGUUGUCCCGGUUUAAGCGUGUAGGUGUGUGUUCCAGGUAAAUCCGGUUCACUUUAACACUGAGGCGUGAUGACGAGGCACUACGGUGCUGAAGCAACAAAUGCCCUGCUUCCAGGAAAAGCCUCUAAGCAUCAGGUAACAUCAAAUCGUACCCCAAACCGACACAGGUGGUCAGGUAGAGAAUACCAAGGCGCUUGAGAGAACUCGGGUGAAGGAACUAGGCAAAAUGGUGCCGUAACUUCGGGAGAAGGCACGCUGACACGUAGGUGAAGUGAUUUACUCACGGAGCUGAAGUCAGUCGAAGAUACCAGCUGGCUGCAACUGUUUAUUAAAAACACAGCACUGUGCAAACACGAAAGUGGACGUAUACGGUGUGACGCCUGCCCGGUGCCGGAAGGUUAAUUGAUGGGGUCAGCGCAAGCGAAGCUCCUGAUCGAAGCCCCGGUAAACGGCGGCCGUAACUAUAACGGUCCUAAGGUAGCGAAAUUCCUUGUCGGGUAAGUUCCGACCUGCACGAAUGGCGUAAUGAUGGCCAGGCUGUCUCCACCCGAGACUCAGUGAAAUUGAACUCGCUGUGAAGAUGCAGUGUACCCGCGGCAAGACGGAAAGACCCCGUGAACCUUUACUAUAGCUUGACACUGAACAUUGAGCCUUGAUGUGUAGGAUAGGUGGGAGGCUUUGAAGUGUGGACGCCAGUCUGCAUGGAGCCGACCUUGAAAUACCACCCUUUAAUGUUUGAUGUUCUAACGUGGACCCGUAAUCCGGGUUGCGGACAGUGUCUGGUGGGUAGUUUGACUGGGGCGGUCUCCUCCUAAAGAGUAACGGAGGAGCACGAAGGUUGGCUAAUCCUGGUCGGACAUCAGGAGGUUAGUGCAAUGGCAUAAGCCAGCUUGACUGCGAGCGUGACGGCGCGAGCAGGUGCGAAAGCAGGUCAUAGUGAUCCGGUGGUUCUGAAUGGAAGGGCCAUCGCUCAACGGAUAAAAGGUACUCCGGGGAUAACAGGCUGAUACCGCCCAAGAGUUCAUAUCGACGGCGGUGUUUGGCACCUCGAUGUCGGCUCAUCACAUCCUGGGGCUGAAGUAGGUCCCAAGGGUAUGGCUGUUCGCCAUUUAAAGUGGUACGCGAGCUGGGUUUAGAACGUCGUGAGACAGUUCGGUCCCUAUCUGCCGUGGGCGCUGGAGAACUGAGGGGGGCUGCUCCUAGUACGAGAGGACCGGAGUGGACGCAUCACUGGUGUUCGGGUUGUCAUGCCAAUGGCACUGCCCGGUAGCUAAAUGCGGAAGAGAUAAGUGCUGAAAGCAUCUAAGCACGAAACUUGCCCCGAGAUGAGUUCUCCCUGAGACUUUAAGUCUCCUGAAGGAACGUUGAAGACGACGACGUUGAUAGGCCGGGUGUGUAAGCGCAGCGAUGCGUUGAGCUAACCGGUACUAAUGAACCGUGAGGCUUAACCUU
rnacentral:rRNA from 1 species